GAUGAACGCUGGCGGCGUGCUUAACACAUGCAAGUCGAACGAUGAAAGCGGGAGCUUGCUCCUGCUGGAUUAGUGGCGAACGGGUGAGUAACACGUGAGUAACCUGCCCUUGACUCUGGGAUAAGCGUUGGAAACGACGUCUAAUACCGGAUACGACCUUCGGAGGCAUCUCCUGGGGGUGGAAAGAAUUUCGGUCAAGGAUGGACUCGCGGCCUAUCAGCUAGUUGGUGAGGUAAUGGCUCACCAAGGCGACGACGGGUAGCCGGCCUGAGAGGUGACCGGCCACACUGGGACUGAGACACGGCCCAGACUCCUACGGGAGGCAGCAGUGGGGAAUAUUGCACAAUGGGCGCAAGCCUGAUGCAGCAACGCCGCGUGAGGGACGACGGCCGUUCGGGUUGUUAAACCGUACCUUUAGUUAGGGUAAGAAGACG
rnacentral:rRNA from 1 species